rnacentral:rRNA from 1 species
UACGUAGGUCCCGAGCGUUGUCCGGAUUUAUUGGGCGUAAAGCGAGCGCAGGUGGUUUAUUAAGUCUGGUGUAAAAGGCAGUGGCUCAACCAUUGUAUGCGUUGGAAACUGGUAGACUUGAGUGCAGGAGAGGAGAGUGGAAUUCCAUGUGUAGCGGUGAAAUGCGUAGAGAUUAGGAAGAACACCAGUGGCGAAGGCGAUUCUCUGGACUGUAACUGACGCUGAGGCUCGAAAGCGUGGGGAGCAAACAGG